UAGCUGGUCUGAGAGGAUGACCAGCCACACUGGAACUGAGACACGGUCCAGACUCCUACGGGAGGCAGCAGUGGGGAAUAUUGCACAAUGGGCGCAAGCCUGAUGCAGCCAUGCCGCGUGUAUGAAGAAGGCCUUCGGGUUGUAAAGUACUUUCAGCGGGGAGGAAGGGAGUAAAGUUAAUACCUUUGCUCAUUGACGUUACCCGCAGAAGAAGCACCGGCUAACUCCGUGCCAGCAGCCGCGGUAAUACGGAGGGUGCAAGCGUUAAUCGGAAUUACUGGGCGUAAAGCGCACGCAGGCGGUUUGUUAAGUCAGAUGUGAAAUCCCCGGGCUCAACCUGGGAACUGCAUCUGAUACUGGCAAGCUUGAGUCUCGUAGAGGGGGGUAGAAUUCCAGGUGUAGCGGUGAAAUGCGUAGAGAUCUGGAGGAAUACCGGUGGCGAAGGCGGCCCCCUGGACGAAGACUGACGCUCAGGUGCGAAAGCGUGGGGAGCAAACAGGAUU
rnacentral:rRNA from 1 species